rnacentral:rRNA from 1 species
GAUGAACGCUGGCGGCGUGCCUAAUACAUGCAAGUCCAGCGAACAGACGAGGAGCUUGCUCCUCUGACGUUAGCGGCGGACGGGUGAGUAACACGUGGAUAACCUACCUAUAAGACUGGGAUAACUUCGGGAAACCGGAGCUAAUACCGGAUAAUAUAUUGAACCGCAUGGUUCAAUAGUGAAAGACGGUUUUGCUGUCACUUAUAGAUGGAUCCGCGCCGCAUUAGCUAGUUGGUAAGGUAACGGCUUACCAAGGCAACGAUGCGUAGCCGACCUGAGAGGGUGAGCGGCCACACGGGAAGUGAGAGACGGUCCAGAGGCCUAGGGGAGGCAGCAGUAGGGAAUCUUCCGCAAUGGGCGAAAGCGUGACGGAGGAACGCCGCGUGAGUGAUGAAGGUCUUCGGAUCGUAAAGGUCUGUUAUUAGGGAAGAACAAAGGUGGAAGUAACUAUGCAGGUCUUGACGGUACCGAAGCAGAAAGCCACGGGUAACUACGUG